GGCGGACGGGUGAGUAACGCGUAGGAAUCUACCCAGUAGCGGGGGAUAGCCCGGGGAAACUCGGAUUAAUACCGCAUACGCCCCAAGGGGGAAAGCAGGGGAUCUUCGGACCGGUCGCUAUUGGAUGAGCCUGCGUUGGAUUAGCUAGUUGGUAGGGUAAAGGCCUACCAAGGCGACGAUCCAUAGCUGGUCUGAGAGGAUGAUCAGCCACACUGGAACUGAGACACGGUCCAGACUCC
rnacentral:rRNA from 1 species